GACCUCGUAGCUCGGUUGGUAGAGCAUUGGACUGGCAAACCAGAUGUCGUGGGUUCGAUUCCCACCGCGGUCA
rnacentral:tRNA from 1 species